rnacentral:tRNA from 1 species
GGGGGGCUGGCGCAACGGUAGCGUGUGAGAUUCCAGUUAUUUCUCUGGAGACUCCUCAAGGUUGUCGGUUCAAAUCCGGCGUCCCUCA